rnacentral:rRNA from 1 species
UCAGAACGAACGUUAGCGGCGCGCCUAAGACAUGCAAGUCGAGCGAGAAAGGGCUUCGGCCCCGGUAAAGCGGCGCACGGGUGAGUAACACGUAGGUCAUCAACCCUCGGGUGGUGGAUAACUCUCCGAAAGGAGAGCUAAUACAGCAUGAAGUUAGCAAUAACCAAAGCGGGCCUCUUCAAGAAAGCUCGCGCCGGAGGAUGAGCCUGCGGCCCAUCAGGUAGUUGGCGGAGUAACAGCCCACCAAGCCAAAGACGGGUAGCUGGUCUGAGAGGAUGAACAGCCGCACUGGAACUGAGACACGGUCCAGACUCCUACGGGAGGCAGCAGUCGGGAAUCUUCCGCAAUGGGCGAAAGCCUGACGGAGCGACGCCGCGUGAGUGAUGAAGGCCUUCGGGUUGUAAAGCUCUGUGGGGAGAGAAGAAUAAGUCUAGGCGAAUACCCUGGAUGAUGACGGUAUCUCCUUAGCAAGCACCGGCUAACUCUGUGCCAGCAGCCGCGGUAAGACAGAGGGUGCAAACGUUGUUCGGAUUUACUGGGCGUAAAGCGCGUGUAGGCGGCUUGGCAAGUUGGAUGUGAAAGCCCACGGCUCAACCGUGGAAGAGCAUCCAAAACUGCUUCGCUCGAGUCUCGGAGAGGAAGGUGGAAUGCUUGGUGUAGAGGUGAAAUUCGUAGAUAUCAAGCAGAACACCUGCGGCGAAGGCGGCCUUCUGGACGAUGACUGACGCUGAGACGCGAAAGCGUGGGGAGCAAACAGGAUUAGAUACCCUGGUAGUCCACGCCGUAAACGAUGAGUGCUAGGUGUCACGGGCUUUGACCCUCGUGGUGCCGUAGCUAACGCAAUAAGCACUCCGCCUGGGGAGUACGGUCGCAAGACUAAAACUCAAAGGAAUUGAC